rnacentral:rRNA from 1 species
AUGACGAUCUUGAGUUGGAACUGUCGAGGCCUCGGGCAACCUCGCACAGUUCAAGAAUUAGUGUGCCUAGUGCACACACACAAGCCCAAGCUUGUCUUCCUCACCGAAACUCGGCAGAAUAACAAGUACGUCACAAAUCUCAAGUGGAGGCUAGGCCUCCGCCAUUGUAUCACACAACCAGGCACCGUUAAGGGUGCUGCAAUUGCUCUUUUCUAUGAUGAAAGUGUGGAAAUAAAGAAGAUUUCCGUGGGGACGAGGUAUAUUGAUGUGUUGAUCCGUUUAAAUCCUCAUGGCCCUCAAUGGAGGGGUACUUUUGUUUAUGGGGAGCCAAAAGCACAUAAGCGGCAUCAUAUGUGGUCCCUGCUGAGUAGAAUCAAAGACACAAGCAAUUUGCCAUCGCUCAUGACGGGAGAUUUCAAUGAGACUAUGUGGCAGUCAGAGCACUAUUCGGUCACAAAAAGAUCAGAAAGGUAUAUGAGAAAUUUCAGAGAGGCCUUGUCUGAAUGUAACCUAUUCGACUUAGGUUUUAAGGGGUCGGGAUGGACCUAUAACAAUAAACAGCAAGGCAACAACAAUGUUCGUGCUAGGCUGGACAGAUUCGUGGCCUCCCCUACGUGGUCUAACCUCUUCACGAAUGCCUUAAUGGAGCACAUUUUCUCCUCAAAAUCUGAUCAUCUUCCAAUCCUUUUGAGGAUGGGCGCCAGGAAAGAAUGGAGGCUGGUUGAGCAAACUAAAGAGAGCAUGUUCAGAUAUGAGCAGAUGUGGGAAAGGGUGGAAUCUCUGCAGCCAACAAUCACUGCCUCAUGGGGCCGGUCCGGCCCGGUGGGCAACCUACGUAUGAUAGGGGAAAAGCUAUAG